rnacentral:rRNA from 1 species
GAUGAACGCUGGCGGCGUGCCUAAUACAUGCAAGUCGAGCGAACAGACGAGGCGCUUGCUCCUCUGACGUUAGCGGAGGACGGGUGUGUAACACGUGGAUAACCUACCUAUCAGACUGGGAUAACUUCGGGAAACCGGAGCUAAUACCGUAUAAUCUAUUGCAGCGCAUGGUUCAAUAGUGAAAGACGGUUUUGCUGUCACUUAUCGCUGGAUACGCGCCGCAUUAGCUAGUUGGUCAGGUAACGGCUUACCAAGGGUACGAUGCGUAGGCGACCUGCGAGGGUGAUCGGCGACAUGGGAGGGGAGACACGGACCAUGCUCCUACGGUAGGCAGCAGUAGGGAAUCUGCCGCAAUAGGCGAAAGCCUGACGGAGCGACGGCGCGUGAGUGAUAAAGGCCUUCGGAGCGUAAAGCUCUGUUAUUAGGGAAGAACAAAUGUGUAAGUAACUGUACACUUCUUGACGGUACCUAAUCAGAAAGCCACGGCUAACUACGUG